GAUGAACGCUGGCGGCGUGCCUAACACAUGCAAGUCGAGCGAACACAUGAGGAGCUUGCUCCUCCGACGUCAGCGGCGGACGGGAGAGGAACACAUGGAUAACCUAACUAUCCGACUGGGAUACCUACGGGAGACCGGAUCUACUACCCGAUAAUAUAUUGAACCGGAUUGGUCCCUCGUGAAAGUCGCUUGUUCGUUCGGUUAUAGAUUGCCCCGGCCCGCAUUCACUAGUGGGGAAGGUAACUGCUUACCAAGGCUACGACGGUUAGCCGACCUCAGAGGGUGGUCAGCCACCCUGGAUGUGAGACAGGGUACAGACACCUACGGUAGGAAGCAGUCGAGAAUCUUACGCAAGGGGGGAAAGCCUGACGGAGCAACGCGGCGGGAAUGAUGAAGGUGUUCGGAUGGGAAAACUCUGAUGUUAGGGAGGAAGAAAAGUGUAAGUAACUAGGCACAUAUUGACAGUACCGGGACAAAAAGCCACGGCUAACUACGUG
rnacentral:rRNA from 1 species